CCUACGGGUGGCAGCAGUGGGGGAUAUUGCACAAUGGGGGAGACCCUGAUGCAGCGACGCCGCGUGAAGGAAGAAGUAUUUAGGUAUGUAAAGCUCUAUCAGCAAGGGAAUAAAUGACAGUACCUGACCAAGAAGCCCCGGCUAACUACGUGUCAGCAGCCGCGGUAAUACGUAGGGGGCAAGCGUUAUACGGAUUUACUGGGUGUAAAGGGAGCGUAGAUGGUUAGGUAAGUCUGGAGUGAAAGCCCGGGGACCAACCCUGGGACUGCUUUGGAAACUGUGUAACUGGAGUACAGGAGGGGUAGGCGGAAUUCGUGGUGUAGCGGUGAAAUGCGUAGAUAUCAGGAGGAACACCGGCGGCGAAGGCGGCCUGCUGGACUGAAACUGACGUUGAGGCUCGAAAGCGUGGGGAGCAAACAGGAUUAGAUACCCCAGUAGUC
rnacentral:rRNA from 1 species